rnacentral:misc_RNA from 1 species
GUCAAAUGGUGUUAUAACACUAGCUGGAUCUACUGAAGUUAGUGUUAGUACGCUUAAGGAAAUGGCUGCUUGCCUAGAACAAGGAUCAUUGAGCAGGGCAACAGGGAGUACAAACAUGAACAAUCAAUCAAGUCGUUCACAUGCAAUCUUCACCAUCACACUAGAGCAAAUGCGUAAACUCAAUCCUUUGUUCCCCAGUGAUAGCAAUACCAAUGAGAGUAUGAAUGAAGAGUAUCUGUGUGCCAAGCUGCAUUUAGUAGAUCUUGCUGGAUCAGAGCGAGCUAAAAGAACAGGUUCUGAUGGUUUGCGUUUUAAAGAAGGAGUUCACAUCAACAGGG